rnacentral:lncRNA from 1 species
CGGCGACCCCGGGGGCCGCUCCCCUCUAUCCCCCGCACGCGCGUCUCUCCAGGUGAGCGCCCCUCCCCUGCCCUCCUCCCCCCUCCCCCGCUGCGGGCCCGGCGGACGGCGCGGGCCGGGAACCGGACGCCCCGCCACCAGGGGGCGCGCGGCGGGAGACGCGCACCCUCGCCCAGGGCGCCUGCGCGGGCGGCCUGUCACGUGGCCCACCCCGCCCCCUCUGACGCGUGCCUGCGGGCGCCGGACCCCGGGUGGCCGCUGCGGGCGGGGCGCGCGUGCGCGGAGGUGAGCCGGGGUCGGGGGUGGGCCUCGGUGGGGCGCGCGUGCGCGGAGGUGAGCGGGCCGGGGGCCGCAGGGGUCCCGGCGAGGGGCGGGGCGGGGGCGUCCGGUGGCUGCCCCCGAGACGAGAGACCCGGGGGUCCCGGCAGCCGUGACGCCCCAAGGGGGAGGGACCGAUCGCUCGGCGGAUUGAACCUCUCUGGUUCGCGGCUGGACAAGUGGAGCGUGUCGUGCGCGGGUCCGCGGGCGGCGGUGUCGACAGGGACCCCGGGGUCUCCACGGUCUCCUCCGCGCCCUCGGUGCUGGGCGAGGGGAGCCGUCUUGUCCCGUUGUGGGGAGGAAACCGAGGCACGGGGUGGGGACCCAUGCCUCUCGCGUCAGGGGGGAGCUGGACUGCCACCCUGGCCUGGGGAGCAGCGGCUCCGAUCCACUUCCCUGAAAGCGAGGUCACAGGGUCUCCCGGCCAGCAGCGCACUUGACCUCCCUGACCUUCAGUGUUUCCCCAUUUGCCUAAACUGUCAGGCCCUCCGGCCAACUGCUCUUCUGGUCAGUGGAGUGGAAACAGCGCGUGCGGCCGGGGGCGGGCCCCUCUGUGUCCCGGGCCACCCCCGCGCUUCUGAACUCAGGGUGAGGAGGUCCGUGGGCCCGGCCCCUCAGCUCCGGUCCCUACAUCACCGUGAUCACGAGGUGUCAUGUGUUCCUGGAUGGGCAGGUGCAGCCGGGACGCUGUACAAUAAAAAAAUAAGUAUUUAG